ACGACGCUCCUGAAGGAACGUUGCAGCCCCAAUAGCCAACACGCUCACGCAAAGAAGAAGAACAUGCUUCUGAGUAGGCUCGUAUGACGGUAUGAUUCGCCGGCGUCUCCUCCUCCUCAUAAACGGUGUCGCCGCUGCAAUCCAUCGAAUAUAACCACAGUCCCCACGCUAAUCCUCAAUUUGGCUCACAUCCAUCAAAGUCUUCGUCGCUAUCAUCCGCCGUCAACUGGACUUUGUAUCGCUAAUAGAGAAAAAACGCGGAAGCACGGGUGAAUCGGGGGAUUUUAACGUGGCCUGGACGACUCAGAUUAGUCCAUUGAGACAUGGAAACACAGAGCCAAUAUUCAAAAUGAUAAACUCACCAGAUUGAACAGAGAGCAGAUUGCGGAUUGGUGAAUUUAUGUUGCAAAAAGUGAAUGAACCGAUGCAGAAUGAUGAAGAAUUGAUGCAGAGGAUGGUGCAGAAGUGAUGAUGACGUGAGCUUGAAGGAUGAUGACUCAGUCGCGAGAAGGUGGAGGAUUCUUGAUGCAGAAAGUGGAGAAAGUGGUUGCAGAAUAAUGGAGAAAGUUGACGGAACUGCAGAAUGAAGUUGCAAAAAUGGAGAACCAAGUUGCAUAAAAUUUUUCCUGCAGAAUGGUAGUACAGGUUAAUGGCUUCUUUUGGUGCAGCUGUUGGUGAGCCUUAUGUGCAUGGCGUGUUCUUCAUAGGCAACCUUCCGGAUCGUUUCGAAUUCACAUUAUUCUAUCACUUUCAACACAAAUAAUGUGAACCUAUUAUCGUCCAUCUAAACUUUAUGUUGAUUAUGAAAUGAUAUGAUUACUAUAUUUUAUAAGACUAAAUCAACCAGCAUGGGAAUUAUGUACGAUUAAAAAUGUAAAUGUUGGUUGGCCUAUGAGGGACUAAAUAUCAGUAUACUGUUACUAUCAAGUAAUCAUAGCAUAACAACUUCAUUAUCUUUA